UAACUAACCUAAUCAACAGCACGCUUACGAAAUGGCAUUGAGCCCUCAUUCAAUAGUUGCCAUCGGAUGGGGCAGCAUAUUUGUAACUAGCUUCUUUGUCUACACAAAUGCCCAUAAAUACGUUUCCAAAAGGAGGACAGAAAUACUAAGAGAAAAACGACGGAGAUCAAGAGAAGAAGCGUUAAAAGAAGAAAAUCAGACUAAAUCUUCAUAACUAACUGACAUUUAAACAUCAUUUUUAAAGGACUUUUGAAAAGCUACAAGGAACAGGCACUGUGAUUGUUACCUAUAGACCACAGAUGUGUAUGUCUGUGUGGAUAGAAUUCACUGGAAUACCUACAAAUAGGAAGGAGUGUAACAGGUCAUAGCAGCCUGUGUGAGGUUGUUAACAAUAUCCUGUUUGGACGGGAUCAUAAUUCUAUGUUAAAGAUACAUCUGUGAUGACAAUCAUGUGUGAUUUACGUGGUGUGUGUGAAUGUACUGAAAGAGUGUGGUUAAAGAUUUACAAAAUAUCAUAGAAUAUUACUUCAGGGUUGAUUCUCUGUUUGUAGGGGAAUGAAUAUUAAAUUAGUAAAACCAGUCA